UAUGUGAUCGUCUCUCGCAUAUCAAUAAGCGGAGGAAAAGAAACUAACAAGGAUUCCCCUAGUAACGGCGAGUGAAGCGGGAAGAGCUCAAAUUUGAAAUCUUAAAGGGAUUUCCCUUUACGAAUUGUAGUUUAAAGAAGUGUUUUCUGUUGAGGUUUUGGUAAAAGUUCUUUGGAAUAGGACAUCAUAGAGGGUGAGAAUCCCGUAUUUGACCUUUACUUUCAACUUUGUGAUACACUUUCAAAGAGUCGGAUUGUUUGGGAAUGCAGUCCAAAAUGGGUGGUAAAUUUCAUCUAAAGCUAAAUAUUGGCGAGAGACCGAUAGCGAACAAGUACCGUGAGGGAAAGAUGAAAAGAACUUUGAAAAGAGAGUUAAACAGUACGUGAAAUUGUCAAAAGGGAAGCGUUUGACACCAGUGUUGUUUUUCUGAAAAUCAAUUAAAGAACUGUUUAUGCUAAGUUGUUUAGACUUUAUCAGCUAACUGUUAGUUUUGAGCUUUUCUUUAAUGCACUUUUCAGUUAACAAGUCAACAUCAAUUUCUUUUGCUGUAAAAAAGCUUGAGGAAGGUGGCUUGAGAUUCGUCUUAAGUGUUUAUAGCCUCUUGCCUAUGCAGUCGGAGAGAUUGAGGUCUGCAGCGUAGAUCCUUCGGGGCUAAAUGCAUUUGUGCUAAGUUAUAGCAUUUUAUAGACAACUUGUUGACUAUGAUUUGUCUUGUAGCUUACUCGCUUAUGUUAUUUUACCUACGCUUAGGAUGUUGACACACGCGCGUGCUCGA
rnacentral:rRNA from 1 species